UUAGGAUGCUAGUCGACCGACGUUCCGUUAGGAACGGAGGGGCGAACAGCUCAGUAACACGUGGCUAAUCUGCCCUCGCGUGGGGAACAACCUCGGGAAACUGAGGCUAAUGCCCCAUAGGGGUGGUAGUCUGGAAGGACUCCUCCUCGAAAGCUCUUGCGCGCGAGGAUGAGGCCGCGGCCGAUUAGGUAGUAGGUAGUGUAACGGACCACCUAGCCUUCGAUCGGUACGGGCCGUGGGAGCGGGAGCCCGGAGACGGGUACUUAGACAAGGACCUGGGCCCUAAGGGGCGCAGCAUUCGCGAAAACUCCCCAAUGCGCGAAAGCGUGAGGGGGGAACCCCAAGUGCCAGCACAAAGUGUUGGCUUUUCUGGAGUGCAAAAAGCUCCAGGAAUAAGGGCUGGGUAAGACCGGUGCCAGCCGCCGCGGUAACACCGGCAGCCCGAGUGAUGUCCGCAAUUAUUGGGCUUAAAGCGUUCGUAGCCGGCCUGCUAAGUCCCCGGUCAAAUCUGACGGCUCAACCGUCGGCUAUCUGGGGAUACUGGCAGGCUUGAGGCCGGGAGAGGUCAGAGGUACUCCUGGGGUAGGGGUAAAAUCCGAUAAUCCUGGGGGGACCACCAGUGGCGAAGGCGUCUGACUGGAACGGGCCUGACGGUGAGGGACGAAACCCUGGGGAGCGAUCCGGAUUAGAUACCCGGGUAGUCCAGGGCGUAAACGAUGUGGGCUGGGUGUGGGCUAAUCAGAAGGAUUAGUCUGUGCCGAAGCGAAAGCGAUAAGCCCACCGCCUGGGGAGUACGGUCGCAAGGCUGAAAUUCCGGGAGCUAGGGCUAGCUCUCGGAACGGUAAACUUAAAGGAAUUGGCGGGGGGGCACCACAAGGGGUGGAGCCUGCGGUCUAAUUGGAUUCAACGCCGGGAAUCUUACCAGAAGCGACAGCCGGAUGAAGGCCAGGCUGAUGACCUUGCCGGACAAGCUGAGAGGAGGUGCAUGGCUGCCGUCAGCUCGUACUGUGAAGCGUCCUGUUAAGUCAGGUAACGAGCGAGACCCACGCCCUCAGUUGCCAGCAGAUCCGUGAGGAUGCUGGGGACUCUGAGGGGACCGCCAUCGAUAAGAUGGAGGAAGGAGUGGGCGACGGUAGGUCAGUAUGCCCCAAAUCUUCUGGGCUACACGCGUGCUACAAUGGCUGGGACAAUGGGAUGCGACUCCGAGAGGAGAAGCCAAUCCCCCAAACCCAGUCUAAGUCCGGAUUGAGGGCUGUAACUCGCCCUCAUGAAGAUGGAAUCCCCAGUAACCGCGUGUCAUCAUCGCGCGGUGAACAUGUCCCUGCUCCUUGCACACACCGCCCGUCACAUCAUCCGAGUGGGGUGCGGACGAGGUCCGGUCCUUGUCCG
rnacentral:rRNA from 1 species